UACCAGCACCCCGAGUGGUCGGGACGAUUAUUGGGCCUAAAGCAUCCGUAGCCGGUCUUGCAAGUCUUCCGUUAAAUCCAGCUGCUUAACAGAUGGGCUGCGGAAGAUACUACAAGACUUAGGAGGCGGGAGAGGCAAGCGGUACUCAGUGGGUAGGGGUAAAAUCCUCUGAUCCAUUGAAGACCACCAGUGGCGAAGGCGGCUUGCCAGAAUGCGCUCGACGGUGAGGGAUGAAAGCUGGGGGAGCAAACCGGG
rnacentral:rRNA from 1 species